AAAGCACUGUUUGGACUGCAGGAUGAACAAUCAAUAGGCAGAAAGCAAGAUAGAGGCUUCCUCAGCUUUUGGAUCGACAAUCGACAGCUGAGAGACUAUUUUUUGCUAUGGUUGACUAAAUAUGGUCAGGGAAGAGAGAGGCACAGGGGAGCCUGUUUGCCUGGAGUGCAUGUUUCAAAUGCUUAGCUGCCUAUAAAGCUGUAACAGUUUAGCCUGUGGUCACUGAGGGAAGAAUAUAAGUUAGCCUCUGUAGUGACCAUGUGGAAGUCCUGACCUCGCUUGCAGACUUGACCUCUGGAUAUGACAAGGUGACGUUCUCUGUUCACUGAUACAAUCCCCUUACUUCAUCCGGCUCAUAAAAAGAAGUGCUGAAUCAGCAAAUAGUGUGAAGGAACAAUCAAGAUGAGAUGGCUGCAGCUGAUGUGACUCUCUAGGUCAUUACCUCUCUUCUUGCUGCAAAUGCUGCAUGACAGUAAGCUUCCAGGAUCUAGAAGUAAAUUAUCAAAAAAGAAAAGAAAGAAAGAAAGAAGAAGAAACUCUCUGAAGUCUAUAAAGAAGAAAGAUUAGGCUGAUCUUACCAACUUCUGAAAUACACUAUAAAACUCCACCGAUUUUAUCAAUGUCUUGCAAAAAAAGAACCAAACCAGAAAAAAAUUCAACAGCUAACUGCUCAAAAUGUUUAGAAAUGUUUAUAUCCAUCAAGAACAAGGAACCACAAGUGGCAUUAAUGACAUGAUCAGGUAAAUUUGUUAUAAAGUUUAGUCUUUGAUAAGUUAAUGCCUGCAAAUAAUCUACCACUGUAAUACAUGAAUAAGCUCAAUGUUUUACUAACAAAAGGAAAAAUAAGAUAUUUUGUGUUUUUACAGCUAACAACUUAGUAAUACCUACUCAGAGCACAUACUUCUUUAUGUACCCAUAUGAACAUACAAUGCUAUGGAAUGUAAAGAAGUAUGUAUUUUUGGUAGGUAAUAAGCCACCAAGAGAGAACUAAAUGCUAAAAGAAGCCCUGGCUUCUUUCUACAUGAAUGGCUUUCAUAUGGUAAAUUAACCUAUUUUCAAGUAGAUGACCUUUAGCGAUAUUAACACCAAAGAAAAAAUACCUACUACUUAUAGAUGGAAACUAAACAUCCCUAUGAUUUAUACUUUGUAAAGUAAAAGUUCUACUGAAGUAGAAUUCAAAUUAUAAUGAAACUCAUUUUUAAACAUUAAAGUUUAAAAUAGUACAUUUUACAUUUUUUGAGUACUCACAUGAUUUAAAUGACCAUAACAGGAAAAACAGAUUACUAGCACAAAAGACUAAGAAAUAAAUAUGAUCUAUUUUCUGCCUCCACAAUUUGAUUUUGAUUUAAGUAUACCACAUUAGUAGAGCCAACAGAUUUAGUAAGAAAAAUAAGACAAUGACAAAAGCUGACUUCACUAAGGCUUUAAUGGCUAUUUUUCACUUUUGGUAAGUUUAUAAUUAUUAAUAUUAGAAAAAUUUCUGAGCUAAAGUUUUCAUUGUUUUGUUUUCUUUGUUGAUAGCUAUAGAAAGUCAUAAUUCUAAAAGAUUAUCAUUUAAGUAAAAAGAAGUGGCCCUUAUCCUUUGCAAGAUUAUCAAGUUUUUAACCUAAUCUCCUUAAAUGCUAUGUUAAAAUAAUUAACAUAGCAUUUUAAUUAAAUGCUAUGUUAAAAUAAUUAAAACAUAAGAAUAAAAGAUAAAAAAAAAUAACAAGAUGCUGGGCCACGAAAAUAAGUCAAGAGGGUAUACUGGUAACAGACUGCCAAACUUUUAAAAGAAAGUAUUACCUUUGAAUCAGCUUUCUCCAACAGGGGCAUAUAAAAUGAAAAUAUUAUAAUCAAGAUCCAACUUAUACAGACAGAAUAACCAUUUCUAUUAGUUAUAUUUCCAUUUUUACAGACAGAAUAUAUCUACUAUAUUUAGCAUGUUAUAGAUAUCAAAAUACUUUUU